AGGCAGGGCUUGUUUCCAUCCCCAGGCUCUUGGGAACAGCCCGCGAACAGAUUGUUCCUGCCAGAGUAUCUCAUUAUUUUAAGCAAAUUGAAUUUCUCAUUGACUAUGUUGAAAGGGACUGUUUAGAGCAGAAACUGCUGACAGAGUGAAUUGAAUGAAACAAAAGAUGCCCAAUUACAAGACAGUGUGAGUGUGUAUGAGGGUACAUACAGGACCACAGGCAGCAAACACACAAUACGUCAGAACCCCAUGUCUGACGGGAUAAACAAUUUCAUUUGUCUAUGACAGCAGUUCAACGUAUGCAUUCUGCACUAGAAGGGAGUGGGAUAUGAAAGGAUGGGGCCCAGACAAAUGUCUGGAUGGAAAAUGGCAAGAAA
ensembl:lncRNA